rnacentral:rRNA from 1 species
AUCUGGGCGGCGGAAUUCAGGAUGGCGGGCGCGUCUUCGCGGCGCGUUCGUCGUUUGAUAUUUCCGUCGCCGAUCCAACCUGCAGACGUCGCGACCUGUUCGCGGUCGGUCCCUGCUCGGAGGAGCCGCGUUCGAGUUCGUUGUGCGGCGUGUUUCUGCGCGUCACACGGCGAAGGCGCGGGUCUCUGGCUGGCCGACGGACAGUACGCUAAACGGUGUCCGGUGUCGUCGUCUUGUACGCGCGUGCACCGGUGCCGGUCGGCGACGAAUUCUUCGGGCCUCUUUCCGACCCGUCUUGAAACACGGACCAAGGAGUCUAACAUGCGCGCGAGUCGCGGGGUGUCGAGCGUACCACGGUGCGUUCGUUACGUUGCGAAACCCGUACAUGUCGAAGGCGUAAUGAAAGUAAAUGGGGAAGAUGGUGUUCCGAGUACACGUUCCGCGGUCAUUGGUACCGCGGCCGGACACCCGCAUUCCCGGGGCGUCUCAACGGCCCGUCGCGGAUGCGGACAGUCGUCUCUCGGGGCGGCUGUCGGUCUGCGACGAACCGA